rnacentral:lncRNA from 1 species
UUGCCAAAUGUAUUGUUGUAGUGUCACACAAAGAAGUUACAAAAUUGAUGUUGAUUCAAAAGUGAAGCUAUAUGUGUAGUUAGAUUGGAGAUGGAAAGCAAUUUCAGUAUUAUGAUAAAAACUAUUGUAGAAUAGAUAUUAGUUCGUUUUUGUAAGAUAUGGAUAAAAUAGAUUAGUAGUACAUAGAAUAGUCAAUUUAGGAGGAUGGAUGGUUGAUUUAGUUAUUGAGAGUGGUUAAUUACAGGAUUAUGGUUAGGAUCUGGAAAUCAACAGCGAUUAUAUAGGAGUUGUAGAAGUUUUUUGGGGGGCCAGACUGUGAUAGUCAUGAGCCAGAGUUAUGCU